CCUACGGGUGGCAGCAGUGAGGAAUAUUGGUCAAAGGGCGUAAGCCUGAACCAGCCAAGUCGCGUGAGGGAUGAAGGUUCUAUGGACCGUAAACUUCUUUUAUAAGGGAAUACAGUGUGGGACGUGUCCUAUUUUGUAUGUACCUUAUGAAUAAGAAUCGGCUAACGCCGUGCCAGCAGCCGCGGUAAUACGGAGGAUCCGGGCUUUAUCCGGAUUUAUUGGGUUUAAAGGGUGCGUAGGCGGCCUUUUAAGUCAGCGGUGAAAGUCUGUGGCUCAACCAUAGAAUUGCCGUUGAAACUGGGGGGCGUGAGUGUGUUUGAGGCAGGAGGAAUGCGUGGUGUAGCGGUGAAAUGCUUAGAUAUCACGCAGAACCCCGAUUGCGAAGGCAGCCAGCCAAGCCAUGACUGACGCUGAUGCACGAAAGCGUGGGGAUCAAACAGGAUUAGAUACCCCUGUAGUC
rnacentral:rRNA from 1 species